rnacentral:rRNA from 1 species
AACCAGCACCUCAAGUGGUCAGGAUGAUUAUUGGGCCUAAAGCAUCCGUAGCUCGUUUUGUAAGUUUUCGGUUAAAUCCAUGCGCUUAACGUAUGGGCUGCCGGGAAUACUGCAUAACUAGGAAGUGGGAGAGGUAGACGGUACUCGGUAGGAAGGGGUAAAAUCCUUUGAUCUAUUGAUGACCACCUGUGGCGAAGGCGGUCUACCAGAACACGUUCGACGGUGAGGGAUGAAAGCUGGGGGAGCAAACCGGAUUAGAUACCCGGGUAGUCCCAGCUGUAAACUAUGCAAACUCAGUGAUGCAUUGGCUUGUGGCCAAUGCAGUGCUGCAGGGAAGCCGUUAAGUUUGCCGCCUGGGAAGUACGUACGCAAGUAUGAAACUUAAAGGAAUUGGCGGGGGAGCACCACAAGGGGUGAAGCCUGCGGUUCAAUUGGAGUCAACGCCAGAAAUCUUACCCGGAGAGACAGCAGAAUGAAGGUCAAGCUGAAGACUUUACCAGACAAGCUGAGAGGUGGUGCAUGGCCGUCGCCAGCUCGUGCCGUGAGAUGUCCUGUUAAGUCAGGUAACGAGCGAGAUCCCUGCCUCUAGUUGCCACCAUUACUCUCAGGAGUAGUGGGGCGAAUUAGCGGGACCGCCGCAGUUAAUGCGGAGGAAGGAGGGGGCCACGGCAGGUCAGUAUGCCCCGAAACUCUGGGGCCACACGCGGGCUGCAAUGGUAGUGACAAUUGGUUCCGAAUCCGAAAGGAGGAGGUAAUCCUCAAACGCUACCACAGUUAUGACUGAGGGCUGCAACUCGCCCUCACGAAUAUGGAAUCCCUAGUAACUGCGUGUCAUUAUCGCGCGGUGAAUACGUCCCUGCUCCU